GAAGUAUGAGGAAAAUGAUUGCUGAAC
rnacentral:piRNA from 1 species